rnacentral:rRNA from 1 species
UACGUGAGGGGCUAGCGUUGUCCGGAAUCACUGGGCGUAAAGCGCACGUAGGCGGCUUUUUAAGUCAGGGGUGAAAUCCUGGAGCUCAACUCCAGAACUGCCUUUGAUACUGAAGAGCUUGAGUCCGGGAGAGGUGAGUGGAACUGCGAGUGUAGAGGUGAAAUUCGUAGAUAUUCGCAAGAACACCAGUGGCGAAGGCGGCUUACUGGUCCGGUUCUGACGCUGAGGCGCGAAAGCGUGGGGAGCAAACAGG